rnacentral:rRNA from 1 species
GUGAACUAGCUAACUGAAAUCACAAGUACACGGUAUGUGUCACUUGAGAUAACGUAAGGGAUAAUAAUGAUAUUACCUUACUAUUAGUGUCGUCCAAAACUGGUGCCAGAAGACUCGGUAAGGCCAGAGACGCAAACGUUAGUCUUAUUAACCAGGCGUAAAGGGUAUGUAGGCAGCUUUCAAAAUUUUAUUUUAAUAUAGCCAUAGUAAAAUAAGACCAAUAAAAGCUAGAAUCAAAUUGAGGUUAAGCCAAAUAAUACUUAGAGUAGGGGCGACAUCCGUAGAAACUAAGUAGAAUACUAAGAGCGUAAGCUUUUUAACCAUUACUCAUUGAAGCUGAGAAACGAAGGUGAGGAUAGGAAGUAGGAUUAGAUACCCAGGUACC